GCUCGCUUCAACCGCACAUAUGCUAAAAUUGAAACGAUACAGAGAUUAGUGUGGCCCCUGUGCAAGGAUGACAUGCAAAUUCGUGAAGCGGUCCACACUUUU